CUGCUCCAUAAAUGGAUACAACUUCUACAAGACGAUUUGCGACACCGGAUCAGGCGUCAACAUAAUGGCCGCAGUCACCUAUCGGCUCUUGUUCGGGACCAUGCCACUAAGACCAACAUACAUUCAGCUCCAGAUGGCAGAUCAGACAUUUCGAGAAGUUAAAGGAAUAGUAUCUGAUGUCCCAGUCAAAAUAGACGAUCACUUUGUCUACACAGACUUUCAAGUUGUUGACAUGGGAGAAGACGAGUAUGAUCCACCCAUCAUCCUUGGAAGGCCGUUCCUCAGCACCGUUAAAGCAAUUAUCUACAUUGGAACCGGAGAAGUCCAUAUGCACUUCCCCUCAGAGAAGGUACGCCGUUAUUUUACUGACCCUAACUAUAUCGUUGAAGAAUCUAAGCAGGUCAGAAAGAGACGCAACCGCAACCAGAGGAGGCAGAUCAUCAAGGACGGAUGGGCAGACUAUGAAGGAGAAGUUGUAAGGUCAGAAGACGUAGAGUUUAAACAGAAUUAUCCAGAGGAGAUUGAAGCACCGAGUCAGGUAUGGAAAAUGAAGAUAACUAUACAAGAAGAGGAGGUGCUGCCGGAAGUACCGACUACGCCACCCAACAAACCUCAGGACGAUUAAGAAAUUGGAGAGUCCCGUUCGGACGACUUAAAAACACCGAACGCCUUGCCAAGAGGUAAACUUGGUAGUUACCCUUUCCUUCUCAAUUAUUUCAAAUAGGUUAUUUAGUUAAACAUGUUCAUGCUAUCCUAAAAAGAAAAUAAAAAUAUAAAAACAGGGAGUAAUAAUUAUUAAGGAGUCUCAAGAUGAUGAAGGCUAUAUAUUUAUGCUAACACUUAAUUAGUUCCACAAGCUUUGUUGUCUAUUUGAGUUCCACAGAAUUCAAGAAGACUAGCAGACGGAGGACAUUCUAAUCGCUGUCAGAAUGUUGCUGACUUUCAACUACACCUCUGCCACCUGCUAGCUACAUCGAGAGAAAUUACGUCAAAAUUCAGCUUGGGGGAGAGCACCCCCAUUUAUUCCGAUAAGUAUUUUUAUCUAUCUUUAUACUUAUAUUAUUUUAGAAUAUUAAAAUACAUAAACUAUGGGAAAACCAAAUAAAGAUUUUAUGCUUAUAUAUAUAUGUCUUUUGCUUAGUGUGUUUAAUAAAUAAAUAAAGUGGCUAUGCUAAUCUGUAUCUAAAUAAAACUUAAGCAUGGAUUUGAUGAACAGUUGCUCUGCCUAAUUUGCAAAUUUUAAGUUCUCUCUCAAGUUUAGACAUAACAGUUAUAAUUUAAAGCUUGCUCUAGACCUAAACUUGUGGGAUGAAAACUUGAUUUGAAGUCUAAGUUGUUAACGGAUACGAUAUGGGAAGGUUGAGCUGCUGUUUAUCUGUUCCUAGAGAUGCUAGAAUUCUAGAGAAUUUUAUCUUUGAAAAUCUUUAAAAUGUUGCAUGAUGAGUUCCUGUAUGAUGAGAGCUUAAAAUUCCUACCACAGCCAUAUAUACAUGCUUGCUAGACUUUGAGCCACACAUUUAUUAUUUACUGCUUAUGAGCAUUGAGUGUGGUCAAGCUGUGUAGACCCUUAAGAAGCUUGUCAUGUGGUUAAAUCAAGAUUUCACUUACACGUUCACUCAUAUAUGCUACUUCUAUUCCAGAAGUACCAUCCACAUAUAUCCACCCAUUCCAUCUCCAGAAUCACCCAAAAAUAUUCUACUCCUAACCCGGGAGAGAAUAACCAAAAAUAUUUCUGUUUUCCCCUUGUAAAAUAAAUGCUCAAGUUAUCUUGUUACUACCACUUGCUAUAUUAUCUCAAGAGAUGAAUGCUCUAAAAAAAAGAGAGAAAAUAAUACGAGGAAAUAAAAAGGAGCAAGUGCUCGGAACCUCGAAAGAAAAGAAAAAGUGAGACGAGAGGUAAAAAUGGACAAGUGUCCGACAGUAGAAUUAGGGGUGCAAGAUACCCACCUGAGAGACAAGAAAAAGAAGAGCAUCUCAUUCUCCUCAUAAAGUUUCAAAAGCAAGGAAGGUAUGUAUCCCCUCAAAAGAGCAAAGUAGAAUUAGACUUCCACCACCAUUGUUUUCACCAUUGUUAUCACCAUCAUCACCAUAUACCAUUCAUUCGCCACACAUGCACAUCUUGAUUAAACUUAUUGACUUGUUACUUUGGAUCCAUGGUUUGACUAUGCAAUAAAUGUCUUGUAAGUAUGUAUAUUUUAUCUCCCACCUAUGAGCUCCAGAUAUUAAAGCCUUAUUAGAGUAGGAUGAGAGAGAAGGCAAUGUCACUAUGCCUCAUACCACAAAUACCACAUAUCUUGAGAGAAGGCAUAUACCAUCAAUGCCUUGGUAAGGAUCCAGAAAUACCACAAAAGAGAGACCUGAGAGAAUCAUACAAGGAAUCUCUGAGUUUUAUUUGAAAAUCUGCAAAAAUCCCAGAGCUAUAGCUGAUCAAGAAUAAGAGACAUGGCACUUGGCUAGACUGUUCUAUCUUUUAACCACUCAAGACAGAAGUGACAGUUACAAGUCCCAUGGUGGAGGUAAAGUAAGUAAGUUUUAAGUCUUGACAGUUUACUCUAACUUAGAGAUGAGAUCUUAUUUAAAAGCAUGUGUACCGUCAAAUUUUUAAAUAUAUUGCAACAACUUAUCAUCCAUAGCUAAGUCUAUCCUUGCUCAGGGACGAGCAAGAGGUAAGCUUGGGGGAGUUUGUUGACGGUCUUUAAGUAUCAAAUUUAAUUAUCAAAUAAAUAAAGAAAAGGAUCCAAAUGAAAUCAAGAUCUAGACUUAGGGUUUUAUCUGACAGAAUUCCACGUGUUUUGGUGUUUGUCUAUUUCUGCAGGGGGUUAUCAGGAAAUAUGGAAGAAAGGCCCACAUGUCAGGAUUACGUAAAGAUAUUAACGUGCUGCGCAAUUAUCUUACAUCUAGAAAACUCUAGAAGCCACGAGACCGAAGCGGAGGCGAAACGGGGCCAGAGGCAGGGCGCUCGCCCUGUCCUACUGGGCGCCCGCCCCCUGUCCAAGUCCAAUCAGUACUAUGCUUUGCGGGAAGUCUCCACCGACCUAAAGGAUGAAUCUAAACCAUACAAUCUAUGUCGGUUUGAUCCAAGGGCCCAUAUUCACUUGAAGGGACUAUAAAACCAGACCCCCUGGCCCCUGGAGGAGGGAGCCUCUCAACCCUAAUUCAUUGUUCCAUCAAGGGAGAAGAAGCCUCUGAUCGAGAUUAGAGCCACCACAUCAAUUAGAUAUCUAGAUUAGCAUAGCUACAUAGGAUUAGACCUAGAAGGAGUCAAUCUUCGAUUGGUUUCCGGAUCUGUCAGGAGGAUUCUUGGUAAUUCUCUAAUUGUGCUUCUAAUUGCUUUCUAAUUAUCUUUGUUCUUCAAUAUUAUGAAUAUGACUUUGUUCUACUUCAAUAUAUUGCUUAUGACUUUGCUCUAUUUGCUCAUAUUCAAGAUUAUAUUGUUCUUAGUUUAUCAUAGUUAUGUACUUAGCUUAGUUAGAUACGAUCUAUAUACAUGCUUAGGAUCGUAUAGCGUUUAUCCAUCGGAUCCAUGGGUAAAUGAUAGAUAUUGUGUAGGCAUGGUGCUUAUACCGUAUUUAUCUGCGAUUGUACCCAAUAUGCCAGAUCGUUGGGUAGUUCGUGAUAGUGACAGCUUCAUUGAUUCUUAUAUAGUCCCCCUCUCGUGUAUUGGGCUGGCAGAGCAACAUUAUUACAGGGGAGUGAUUGCUAUGUUUCUCAUAUUUCUUGCUAAUAUCACUAUGCAUGGGCGUAGUCUUGUCUCACAAUGAUUGCUAAGUAUGCUUGCACUAACUAUGAUAUGCUAGACUAUAUAGUUAAGAAUAACUUAGGGAAUAUUCUUGUAGUUCGUUCUAAUACCAUGCUAAUGACUUUCUAGAGUAUCUAAUUGAGGUGCUUAUCAUAUUUAUUAUGUGGCUAGAUUAGAUUAGUUAUCCUUGUCAUUAUUAUUAUUUCAUAUAUCUUUUAUGUGACACUUAUCCCUGUAUGAUGAGUUAGAUAUAAUGUUCUCAAUUAUACAUGCAAUGAUAGAUGCUCAAUCUCAUAUUCUAUUCUGUAAUCAUUAGUGAUGAUUUCUAAUCCCUUCCCAGUGGUAAAAAUAUAAAUAACGAUACCUGGAAUACUUCCCGGUUAAAAUGCUACAUCGGUAUUAAUCUGUGCGCUUGCAGAUCCCAUUCAUUAUUUAUUUAGAAGAGCAAUUGCAUAUUUCAAUACCGCGUCUCUUAUAUCAUGCUGGGGAUGACAACUUGGCUUAAGUGGUGUAAGGGAUAGGUUUGGCAUUUUUGGCACCGUUGCUAGAUUUAGAGAACUUAGUCUACUUUUAGUAAUGAUGUUAAGAAUACCCAACACCCACACUCCUAAUCACAUGAACUAAAAUGUUGCACACACAAUCUUUGGAAGAUAUAUAUAAAAACAUAAGUAUAGAUAGAUUAUCUUUCCAUUAGGUUGAGCGAUCUGAUCUGAUAGAUCUUUUAAAUGUUACACUCAUAAUCUUAUUAUCCAUCAACUUUGUCUUGCUCACUAAGCUUAAGGUUAGAGAAGAACAAAUACACUUUUGGUUCUGUUGGUGUUUUCCACCAACAGGGCCCAUGCACUUGAUCUCUGCCUUGUUUCUAUGAGCAGGUACACUUCGAUCAAAAUAUGAAGGACUUUUACAACUCCCAGAUCCACCAAGUGAAGAACCUAGAUCUACGAGCACAAACACACUGGAGAUACUGGACACUCAGGCAUCACUGCCAUAAGAGGCUUGAGGAUGUAACUACUGGAGUAACUGUUGAUGGUCCUCAAGUAUCAAAUUUAAUUAUUAAAUAAACAAAGAAAAGGAUCCAAAUGAAAUCAACAUCUAGACUUAGGGUUUUAUCUGACAGAAUUCCAUGAGUUUUGGUGUUUGUCUAUUUCUGCAGGGGGUUAUCAGGAAAUAAGGAAGAACGGCCUACAUGUCGGGAUUACGUAAAGAUAUUAAUGUGCUGCGCAAUUAUCUUACAUCUAGAAGACUCCAGAAGCCACGAGACUGAAGCGGAGGCGAAACGAGGCCUGACCCUGGGUGCCCGCCCAGUUGGUCAGGGCGCCCGCCCUGCCCCUGAGUCCAAUCAGGACUCUGCUUUGCGGGAGAUUUCCACCAACCUAAAGGAUGAAUCUAAACCAUACAAUCUAUGUUGGUUUGAUCCAACGGCCCAUAUUCACUUGAAGGGACUAUAAAACCAGACCCCCUGGCCCCUGGAGGAGAGAGCCUCUCAACCCUAAUUCAUUGUUCCAUCAAGGGAGAAGAAGCCUCUGAUCAAGAUUAGAGCCACCACAUCAAUUAGAUAUCUAGAUUAGCAUAGCUACAUAGGAUUAGAACUAGAAGGAGUCAAUCUUCGAUUGGUUUCCGGAUCUGUCAGGAGGAUUCUUGGUAAUUCUCUAAUUGUGCUUCUAAUUGCUUUCUAAUUAUCUUUGUUCUUCAAUAUUAUGAAUAUGACUUUGUUCUACUUCAAUAUAUUGCUUAUGACUUUGCUCUAUUUGCUCAUAUUCAAGAUUAUAUUGUUCUUAGUUUAUCAUAGUUAUGUACUUGGCUUAGUUAGAUUGGAUCUAUAUACAUGCUUAGGAUCGUAUAGUGUUUAUCCAUCGGAUCCAUGGGUAAAUGAUAGAUAUUGUGUAGGCGUGGUGCUUAUACCAUAUUUAUCUGCGAUUGUACCCAAUAUAACAGAUCGUGGGGUGGUUCGUGAUAGUGACAGCUUCAUUGAUUCUUAUAUAGUCCCCCUCUCAUGUAUUGGGCUGGCAGAGCAACAUUAUUACAGGGGAGUGAUUGCUAUGUUUCUCAUAUUCCUUGCUAAUAUCACUAUGCAUGGGCGUAGUCUUGUCUCGCAAUGAUUGCUAAGUAUGCUUGCACUAACUAUGAUAAUGCUAGACUAUAUAGUUGAGAAUAACUUACGGAAUAUUCUUGUAGUUCGUUCUAAUACCAUGCUAAUGACUUUCUAGAGUAUCUAAUUGAGGUGCUUAUCAUAUUUAUUAUGUGGCUAGAUCAGAUUAAUUAUCUUUGUCGCUAUUAUUAUUUCAUAUAUCCUUUAUGUGACACUUAUCCCUGUAUGAAGAGUUAGAUAUAAUGUUCUCAAUUAUACAUGCAAUGAUAGAUGCUCAAUCUCAUAUUCUAUUCUGUAAUCAAUAGUGAUGAUUGCUAAUCCUUUCCCAGUGGUAAAAAUAUAAAUAACGAUACCUGGAAUACUUCCCGGUUAAAAUGCUGCAUCGGUAUUAAUCUGUGCGCUUGCAGAUCCCAUUCAUUAUUUAUUUAGAAGUGCAAUUGCAUAUUUCAAUACCGUGUCUCUUAUAUCAUGCUGGGGAUGACAACUUGGCUUAAGUGGUGUGAGGGAUAGGUUUGGCAUUUUUGGCAUCGUUACUAGAUUUAGAGAACUUAGUUUACUUUUGGUAAUGAUGUUAAGAAUACCCAACAAGCAUUUUUGGCGCCGUUGCCGGGGAAGGUUGAUUACCAAUCAGGAAUGGAAUAAAAGAUUUUGAGUUAUCAUUCGCAUCACUAAUAUGAUUGAGCUUAUCUAUUCUCUCAUACAGUUUUACCCCAAUAUUUUUCUAUUUUAUCUUAUUCAGGGGAAUGUAUGAAUAGAAGACAUCUUCCAGGAAAUUUUGUUGACAAUCCCGAAGCAUUAUUCAAGAAGACGAGAGCAAAGCUCAAGAAGAGAUCAUCAACACUUCACGAAGAAGCUUCAUCCAUUCAAGAAGAUCACCGGAACUUGUCUUCAGAGUUCGAAGCCAUGGCGAACAAAUCGAUACGCGAGUUCUCAGCUCCCACUACGGACAACAUCCGCACUGGACCUGCUGCAGAGAUCGACGGCAACUUUGAGCUAAAGCCUGGACUUAUCAACAUGGUGCAAUCCAACCAGUUCUGUGGGAAGGCACACGAAGAUGCUAGUGCUCAUUUACAACACUUCCUGGAGAUUUGCAACACAUUCACCAUAGCAGGAGUUACCAAAGACGCUAUACUACUUCGCCUCUUCCCAUUCUCACUGUUAGGAAGAGCGAAGCAGUGGUUCUAUGCUACAAAGGAGAAGAAUACUACGUCGGCACUCUGCUCAACCAACUUCCUGGCUAAGUUCUUUCCCAUGGGCAAAACCAAUGCUCUCCGUGGGAAGAUUACAAGUUUUCAGCAACAAAAUGAUGAAUCUGUUCCAGAAGCAUGGGAGCGCUUUCAAGACUACAUCCUAGAAUGUCCCCAUCAUGGAAUGGAGAGUUGGCUAUUGAUGCAGACAUUUUAUCAUGGGCUCGGCAACAGUGCCCGAGAGACCAUGGAUGUUGCAGCUGGAGGAGCAUUCAUAUCACUUACUAUACCACAAGCCACAACUCUUGUGGAGAAGAUGGCGUCCAAUCAAAGCUGGAAUGAAGAGAGGACCCAGACACAUAAGAGAGGUGGAGGCAUGCAUCAGCUGAAGGAGGUAGACAUGCUGUCUGCAAAGCUAGACCUGCUCAUGAAGAAGCUCGACGAUAGAGCUGGAGAUAAGAAGGAAGUUAUGCACAUCUACGACUCUCACAUGACUUGUGAGGAGUGUGGAGACACUGGACACUCCGGCAACCACUGCCCUGAGAUGCUUGAGGAUGUGAACUACAUCAACAACAACAACUACUACUACUACAACCGUCCUCAACAAAAUCAAGGUUGGAAUCAACAGAGGCCUAACUACUCAGGUAAUUAUCAAGGUAACAAUUCUUACAACAAUAAUAAUAAUUUUCCACCUUUGAGAGAGUUAGUGUCUAAUCAAGGAAAGCUAAUGGAUAACCUAUCUAAGAAAUUGGCAUCUAAUGAUAAAAUGCUAGAAAAUAUAAAUAAUAGAAUGGAUAAUUUCUCUACUGCCAUCAAGAAUCAAAUUAGCUUUAAUAAAAUGAUUGAAUCCCAGUUAAAUCAAAUAGCUGCUGCUGUUCCUACUACUAACCCCGGUAUACCAUCACAACCGGAAGGAUUAGAAUCUGCAAAUCUUGUAGACAUGUUUGAUGCGGGUAAUUGGAGUAACCCCGUCACUGAAUUCUCUACUGACCUUCUGCCGGUCAAGAGAGGCGAUCCAGGACGCCCCGUCAUCUCGAUCUCCAUCGGCAUGGUGGACGUUCCAGAAGCACUCUGUGACUUUGGCUCCAGCGUCAACAUUAUACCCAGGGUACUCUAUGAAAAAUUCUUUACAUAUCCUUUAUUAGAGACAACCAUGUGUUUGCAGUUUGCAGAUCAGACGAUAACUUUUCCAAAAGGAAUAGUGAAGAACCUUUGUGUCCGAGUUGGUACCUUAUAUGCCCCAGCAGACUUCGUAGUGGUAGAGACCGGAAAUGAUGAGACAGCACCUAUCAUCCUAGGGAGGCCAUUCUUGAACACCACGGGAGCUAUCAUCUACGCCAGUGCUGCCAAGAUCAGUUUCUACGUCAAAGGGAAGAAGGAGACAUUUUUCUUCAAGAACAAGACUACACAAAUUCCAAAUCAAUCCAGACGUGAAUCAAGGAAGAGGACCAACAGGAGGAACAGGAACAAGCAAGUGUGGACCGAGUCAGCUAAGAUGGUCACUGUAGUUCAUAGAGGUCAAGAUCAUCAACUUAAGUCACCGUUUUUGACCAAGAAGGACGACCCAGGAAUGCCAAGCAUUUACUGCUCCAUACAUGGAUAUAGCUUCUACAAGACGAUUUGCGACACCGGAUCGGGCGUCAACAUAAUGGCCGCAGUCACCUAUCGGCUCUUGUUCGGGACCAUGCCACUAAGGCCAACAUACAUUCAACUCCAGAUGGCAGAUCAGACAUUUCGAGAAGUUAAAGGAAUAGUAACUGAUGUCCCAGUCAAAAUAGACGAUCACUUUGUCUACACAGACUUUCAAGUUGUUGACAUGGGAGAAGACGAGUAUGAUCCACCCAUCAUCCUUGGAAGACCGUUCCUCAGCACUGUUAAAGCAAUUAUCUACAUUGGAACCGGAGAAGUCCAUAUGCACUUCCCCUCAGAGAAGGUACGCCGUUAUUUUAUUGACCCUGACUAUAUCGUUGAAGAAUCUAAGCAGGUCAGAAAGAGACGCAACCGCAACCAGAGGAGGCAGAUCAUCAAGGACGGAUGGGCAGACUAUGAAGGAGAAGUUGUAAGAUCAGAAGACGUAGAGUUUAAACAGAAUUAUCCAGAGGAGAUUGAAGCACCGAGUCAGGUAUGGAAAAUGAAGAUAACUAUACAAGAAGAGGAGGCGCUGCCGGAAAUACCGACUACGCCACCCAACGAAUCUUAGGACGAUUAAGAAAUUGGAGAGUCCCGUUCGGAGGACUUAAAAACACCGAACGCCUUGCCAAGAGGUAAACUUGGUAAUUAUCCUUUCCCUUUCAAUUAUUUUACUUAGUUAAUCAUAUUCAUACUAUCCUAAAAAGAAAAUAAAAAUGUGAAAAACAGUACGCCCCAUGUGAGUAUGCGAGUGGCAUAAAACCCAUAAGUACAUUCGCUGUGGUGGCAUAAAAAUAAAAUAAAUUUCUUUUCUGCUUUAUAAAAAAUGAAAAUAUAAAAAUAGGGAGUAAUAAUUAUUAAGGAGACUCAAUAUGAUAAAGGCUAGAUAUUUAUGCUAGCACUUAAUCAGUUCCACAAGCUUUGUUGUCUAUUUGAGCUCCAUAGAAUUUAGGAAUCAAGGAAGACUAGCAGACGGAGGACAUUCUAAUCGCUGUCAGAAUGCUGCUGACUUUCAAAUACACUUCUGCCACCUGCUAGCUCCAUCAAGAGAAAUUACGUCAAAAUUCAGCUUGGAGGAGAGCACCCUCAUUUAUCCCGAUGAGUAUUUCUAUCUAUCUAUCUAUCUAUCUUUAUACUUAUAUUAUUUUAGAAUAUAAAUAUACAUAACUAUGGAAAACCAAAUAAAGAUUUUAUGCUUAUAUAUAUUUGUCUUUUGCUUAGUGUGUUUAAUAAAAAAAUAAAGUGGCUAUGCUAAUCUGUAUCUAAAUAAAACUUAAGCAUGGAUAUGAUGAAUAGUUGCUCUGCCUAAUUUGCACAUUUUAAGUUCUCUCUCAAGUUUAGAUAUAACUGUUAUAAUUUAAAGCUUGCUCUAGACCUAAACUUGUGGGAUGAAAAUUUGAUCUGAAGUCUAAGUUGUUAACGGAUAUGAUAUGGAAAGGUUGAGCUGCUGUUUAUCUGUUCCUAGAGAUGCUGGAAUUCUAGACAAUUUUAUCUUUGAAAAUCUUUAAAAUGUUGCAUGAUGAGUUCCUGUAUGAUGAGAGUUUAAAUUCCUACCACAGCCAUAUAUACAUGCUUGCUAGACUUUGAGCCACACAUUUACUAUUUACUACUUAUGAGCAUUGAGUGUGGUCAAGCUGUGUAGACCCUUAGGAGCUUGUCAUGUGGUUAAAUCAAGAUUUCACUUGCACGUUCACUCAUAUAUGCUACUUCUACUCCGGAAGUACCAUCCACAUAUAUUCACCCAUUCCAUCUCCAAAACCACCUAAAAAUAUUCUACUCCUAAUCCGGGAGAGAAUAACCAAAAAUAUUUCUGUUUUCCCUUGUGAAAUAAAUGAUCAAGUCAUCUUGUUACUACCACUUGCUAUAUUAUCUCAAGAGAUGAGUGCUCUAAAAAAAAGAAAGAAAGAAAAAAAAAUACGAGGAAAUAAAAAGGAGCAAGUGCUCGGAACCUCGAAAGAAAAAGAAAAAGUGAGACGAGAGGUAAAAAUGGACAAGUGUCCGACAGUAGAAUUAGGGGUACAAGAUACCCACCUGAGAGAAAAGAAAAAGAAGAGCAUCUCAUUCUCCUCAUAAAGUUUCAAAAAGCAAGGAAGGUAUGUAUCCCCUCAAAGAGCAAAAGUAGAAUUAGACUUCCACCACCAUUGUUUUCACCAUUGUUAUCACCAUUAUCAUCAUACACCAUUCAUUCGUCACACAUGCACAUCUUGAUUUGGCUUAUUGAUUUGUUUAUUUGGAUCCAUGGUUUGACUAUGCAAUAAAUGUCUUGUAAGUAUGUAUACUUUAUCUCCCACCUAUGAGCUCCAGAUAUUAAAGCCUUAUUAGAGUAGGGUGAGAGAGAAGACAAUGUCACUAUGCUUCAUACCACAAAUACCACAUAUAUUGAGAGAAGGCAUAUACCAUCACUGCCUUGGUAAGGAUCUAGAAAUACCACAAAAGAGAGAUCUGAGAGAGUCAUACAAGGAAUCUCUGAGUUUUAUUUGAAAAUCUGCAAAAACUCUAGAGCUAUAGCUGAUCAAGAAUAAGAGACAUGGCACUUGGCUAGACUGUUCUAUCUUUUAACCACUCAAGACAGAAGUGACGGUUACAAGUCCCAUGGUGAAGGUAAAGUAAGUAAGUUUUAAGUCUUGACAGUUUACUCUAACUCAGAGAUGAGAUCUUAUUUAAAAAGCAUGUGUACCGUCAAUUUUUAAAGAUUUUGCAAUUAUUUCUGAUCCAUAGCUGAGUCUAUCCUUGCUCAGGUACGAGCAAGAGGUAAGCUUGGGGGAGUUUGUUGACGGUCCUUAAGUAUCAAAUUUAAUUAUUAAAUAAACAAAGAAAAGUAUCCAAAUGAAAUCAACAUCUAGAUUUAGGGUUUUAUCUGACAGAAUUCCACGAGUUUUGGUGUUUGUCUAUUUCUGCAGGGGGUUAUCGGGAAAUAAGGAAGAAAGGCCCACAUGUCGGGAUUACAUAGAUAUAUCAACGCACCGCACGAUUUUACAUCAUCUAGAAGACUCCAGAAGCCACGAGACCGAAGCGGAGGCGAAACGGGGCCUGACCCUGGGCGCCCGCCCAGUUGGUCAGGGCGCCCGCCCUGCCCCUGAGUCCAAUCAGGACUCUGCUUUGCAGGAGAUUUCCACCGACCUAAAGGAUGAAUCUAAACCAUACAAUCUAUGUUUGUUUGAUCCAACGACCCAUAUUCACUUGAAGGGACUAUAAAACCAGACCCCCUGACCCCUGGAGGAGAGAGCCUCUCAACCCUAAUUCAUUGUUACAUCAAGGGAGAAGAAGCCUCUGAUCAAGAUUAGAGCCACCACAUCAAUUAGAUAUCUAGAUUAACAUAGCUACAUAGGAUUAGAACUAGAAGGAGUCAAUCUUCGAUUGGUUUCCAGAUCUGUCAGGAGGAUUCUUGGUAAUUCUCUAAUUGUGCUUCUAAUUGCUUUCUAAUUAUCUUUGUUCUUCAAUAUUAUGAAUAUGACUUUGUUCUACUUCAAUAUAUUGCUUAUGACUUUGCUCUACUUGCUUAUAUUCAAGAUUAUAUUGUUCUUAGUUUAUCAUAGUUAUGUACUUGGCUUAGUUAGAUUGGAUCUAUAUACAUGCUUAGGAUCGUAUAGCGUUUAUCCAUUGGAUCCAUGGGUAAAUGAUAGAUAUUGUGUAGGCGUGGUGCUUAUACCAUAUUUAUCUGCGAUUGUACCCAAUAUGCCAGAUCGUGGGGUGGUUCGUGAUAGUGACAGCUUCAUUGAUUCUUAUAUAGUCCCCCUCUCGUGUAUUGGGCUGGCAGAGCAACAUUAUUAUAGGGGAGUGAUUGCUAUGUUUCUCAUAUUCCUUGCUAAUAUCACUAUGCAUGGGCGUAGUCUUGUCUCGCAAUGAUUGCUAAGUAUGCUUGCACUAACUAUGAUAAUGCUAGACUAUAUAGUUGAGAAUAACUUAGGGAAUAUUCUUGUAGUUCGUUCUAAUACCAUGCUAAUGACUUUCUAGAGUAUCUAAUUGAGGUGCUUAUCAUAUUUAUUAUGUGGCUAGAUCAGAUUAAUUAUCUUUGUCGCUAUUAUUAUUUCAUAUAUCCUUUAUGUGACACUUAUCCUUGUAUGAAGAGUUAGAUAUAAUGUUCUCAAUUAUACAUGCAAUUAUAGAUUCUCAAUCUCAUAUUCUAUUCUGUAAUCAAUAGUGAUGAUUGCUAAUCCCUUCCCAGUGGUAAAAAUAUAAAUAACGAUACCUGGAAUACUUCCCGGUUAAAAUGCUGCAUCGGUAUUAAUCCGUGCGCUUGCAGAUCCCAUUCAUUAUUUAUUUAGAAGAGAAAUUGUAUAUUUCAAUACCGCGUCUCUUAUAUCAUGCUGGGGAUGACAACUUGGCUUAAGUGGUGUGAGGGAUAGGUUUGGCAUUUUUGGCACCAUUACUAGAUUUAGAGAACUUAGUUUACUUUUGGUAAUGAUGUUAAGAAUACCCAACAGUAACCCCAUUGUGGAAGUAAUUACUGACCUUCUGCCGGUCAAGAGAGGUGACCUUGGACGCCCCGUCAUCCUGAUCUCCAUCAGCAUGGUGGACUUUCCAGAAGCACUCUGCGACAUUGGCUCCAGCGUCAAUAUUAUGCCCAAGGUACGCUAUGAAAAAUUCUUUACACAUCCUUUACUAGAAACAACCAUGCGUUCGCAGCUUGCAGAUCGUACACUAAGUUUCCCAAAGAGAAUAUUGAACAACCUCUUCGUCCGAGUUGGUACCUUGUACGCUCCAGCAGACUUCAUGGUGAUAGAGACUGGUACUGAUGAGAGGGCACCCAUCCUAGGGAGGCCAUUCCUGAACACCUCAGGAGCUGUCAUCUACGCUAGUGCUGCCAAGAUCAGUUUCUACAUCAAAGGGAGAAAGGAGACAUUUUCCUUCAAGAACAAGACUACACAAAUCUCAGAGCAAUCCUGACAUGAACCAAGGAAGAGUACCAACAGGAGGAAUGGAAACAAGCAAAUGUGGACCAAGUCAGCUAAGAUGGUCACUGCAGUUCAAGGAGAUCAAGAUCAUCGACUUAAGUCACCGUUUCUAACCAAGAAGGACGACCUAGGAAUGCCAAGCAUCUAUUGCUCCAUCAAUGGGUACAACUUCUACAAGACGCUUUGUGACACUGGAUCUGACGUCAACAUAAUGGCCGCAGUCACUUAUCAGCUCCUGCAUGAAACCAUGCCCCUACAACCAACAUACAUUCAGCUCCAGAUGGCAGAUCAUACAUUCCGAAAGGUUAUUGACAUGGGAGAAGACGAGUACGAUCCACCCAUCAUCCUUGGGAGACCGUUCCUCAGCACCGUUAAAGCAAUCAUCUACAUUGGAAUCGGAGAAGUCCACAUGCACUUCCCCUCUGAGAAGGUACGCCGCUAUUUUACUGACCUUAACUAUAUAGUUGAAGACUCUAAGCAGAUCAGGACAAGAAGAAGACGACGCAACCGCAACCAGAGAAGACAAAUCAUCAAGGAUGGAUGGGCGGACUAUGAAGGAGAAGUUGUAAGGUCUAAAGACAUACAACUUGAGUAGAACUAUCCUGAGGAGACCGUAGCACCGAGUCAGGUGUGUAGAGAAAAGAUAGUUAUACAUGAAGACCAGGCGCCGCUGGAACCACCGACUACGUCAUCCAGCGAAUCCCAGGACGACUGAGAAAAUGGAGAUUCACGUUCGGAGGACUUAAAAACACCGAACGCCUUGCCAAGAGGUAAACUUCGUAGUUAUUUUUUUCCUUUCAAUUAUUUUAAAAUAGUUUGCUUAGUUAAUCAGGUUCAUAUCAUCUUGAAAAGAAAAUAAAAAUGUUAAAAAUAGUAAGCCCCAUGUGAGUAUGCUGGCAUAAAACCCAUAAGUACAUUCACUGUGGUGGCGUAAAAAAUGAAAUAAAUAUAUUCCUGUCCUAUAAAAAUAAAAUUACAAAAAUAGAUUUAUGAUCCUACUAAAGAGAGUAACAUUUAUUGAGGAGGCUCAACAUGAUAAAGGCUAGAUAUUUAUGCUAACACUUAACUAGUUCCACAAAGCUUUGUUGUCUAUUUGAGCUCCGCAGAAUUCAAGGAUCAAAGAAGACUAGCAGACAGAGGACAUCCUAAUCGCUGUCAGAGUGCUGCCGACAUUCAAAUACACCUCCGCCACCUGCUAGCUACAUUAGAAGAAAUUAUGUCAAAAUCCAGCUUGGGGGAGAGCACUCCCAUUUAUCCAGCUAAGUGUUCUACUCACGUUUAUACUUUACUCAAAUAAUAAAAAGAUGCAUAAUCAUAAAAACCCAAAUAAAGAUUUUGUGCUUAUUUAUAUAUAUAUCUUUGCUUGGUUUGCUAAAUAAAUAAAUAAAUAAAGUUUGCUAUGAACCCUCAUGAUAAGCUCUCACAUGGAAAUGAUGAAUAGUUGCUCUGCCAUGACUAGUUCUCAAAAUUGAAAUCUCUCUCAAGUUUAGACAUAACUGUUAUAAUUUAAAGCUUGCUCUAAACCUGAACUUGUGGGAAGAGUACUUGAUCUAAAGUCUAAGUCGUUAACGGAUACGAUAUGGGAAGGUUGAGCUGCUGUUUAUCUCUUCCUACAGAUGCUAGAAUUCUGGAGAAUUUUAUCUUUCAAAAUAUUUAAAAUGUUGCAUGAUGAGUUCUUGUAUGAUGAGAGUUUAAAUUCCUACCACAGCCAUAUAUACAUGCUUGUUAGACUAUGAACCAUACAUUUACUUUUUACUUCUUAUGAGCAUUGAGUGUGGUCAAGCUGUGUAGACCCUUAGGAGCUUGUCAUGUGGUUAAAUCAAGAUUCACUUGCACGUUCACUCACAAAUGGUGCUUCUACUCCGGAAGUACGCAUCCACAUAUAUCCACCCAUUUCCAUCUCCAGAAUCACCUAAAAAUAUUCUACUCCUAAUCCGGGAGAGAAUAGCCAAAAACAUUUCUGUUUUUCCCUAUGAAAUAAAUGCUCAAGUUAUCUUGGUUACUACCACUUGCUAUAUUAUUUCAGGAGAUGCGUGCUCUAAAAAAAGAGAGAAAAAAAAGAAAGAAUACGAGGAAAUAAAAAGGGGCAAGUGCCCGGAACGUCGAAGAAAAGAAAAAGUGAGACGAGAGGUAAAAAUGGACAAGUGUCCGACAGUAGAAUUAGGGGUACAAGAUACCCACCUGAGAGAAAAGAAAAAGGAAAUAUAGAGCAUCUCAUUCACCUCAAAAAGUUUCAAAAGAGCAAGAAAGGUAUGUAUCCCCUCAAAAGAGCACAAGUAAAAUUAGACUUUCACCAUUGUUAUCACCAUCAUCCCCAUACACCAUUCAUUCGCCACACAUGCACAUCUUGAUUUGACUUAUUGACUUGUUCUUCUGGAUCCAUGGUUUGACUAUGCAAUAAAUAUCUUGUAUGUAUUAGUUGUCUCCCACCUAUGAGCUCCAGAUAUCAAAACCUUAUUAGAGUAGGGUGAGAGAGAAGGCAAUGCCACUAUGCCUCAUACCAAAAAUACUACAUACUUUGAGAGAAGGCAUACACCAUUACUGCCUUGGUAAGGAUCCAGAAAUACCACAAAAGAGAGACUAGAGAGAGUCAUACAAGGAAUCUCUGAGUUUUAUUUGAAAAUCUGCAAAAACUCCAGAGCUAUAGUUAAUCGAAGAACAUGAGACAUGGCGCUUGACUAGACCGUUCUAUCUUUUAACUGCUCAAGACACAAGUGACGGUUGCAAGCCCCAUGGUGUAAGGUAAUAUGAGUAAGUUUAAAUCUUAACAGUUUACCCUAAACCAGAGAUGAGAUCUUGUUUGAACGCAUGUAUAUCUUUAAGGCAUGAAACCACUACAGAAACUCUCGAGUUCAUCUUUGCUCAGGGACGAGCAAAGGUUAAGCUUGGGGGAGCUUGUUGACGGUCCUUAAUGCUCACAUUUAACCAUCAACUAAUCAUGGAAAAGGAUCUAAAUGGAACCAACACAUAGACCUAGGGUUUUAUCUGACAGAAUUCCAUGAGUUUUGGUGUUUGUCUAUUUCUGCAAGGGGUUAUCAGGAAAUACGGAAGAAAGGCCCACACGUCGGGUUUACAUAGAGAUAUUAACGUGCCGCGCAAUUUUCUAUCAUCUAGAAGACUCCAGAAGCCAUGGGACCGAAGCAGAAGCUGAGAGGGCUCAGGGACAGGGCGCCCACCCUGGAGUUCUGCCCAAUCACGUCCAAACUCGCGUAUCGUGCUCCACCGACCUAAGGGAUCAAGGAUAACCGUUCAAUCAGUGUCGGUUUGAUCCAACGGCCCAUAUUCACUUGAAGGGACUAUAAAACCAGACCCCC
rnacentral:lncRNA from 1 species